CAAAAUGUAGUUUAAAAAAAACAUUUCGCUUACACCGAAAAAAAUCUGACAGACCAGAACAUUUUGA
rnacentral:tRNA from 1 species